CUACGACCAUAUCACGCUGAAAACACCGGUUCUCGUCCGAUCACCGAAGUUAAGCAGCGUCGAGCUCGGUUUAGUACUUGGAUGGGUGACCGCCUGGGAAUACCGGGUGUUGUAG
rnacentral:rRNA from 1 species